rnacentral:tRNA from 1 species
AUUUAAAUAGUUUACUAAGAAUAGAGCAUUGAAGAUGCUUUGGUGGCUAAUUGCCUUUAAAUA